ACGGCCAUAUCAUGUUGAAACACAGGUUCCCGUACGGUCACCGAAGUUAAGCAACGUCGAGCCAGUACCUAGAUGGGUGACUACUUGGGAAUACCAGGUGCUGUAAG